AGGGAUCGGCAGGCCACAGGACUCUUGCCUGCCUGUCCUUCUGUCCUCAAACAGCAGCUACUCUAUCCACGGAUAAAGAAGAAAGCGGUUGGAAGCAGCUGAACCUGUUCUCUUUUUCUCCUCUGUUUUUGCCUUUACACUGUGUCUCUCUCUCCACACUGGGGAGAGAGAAACAAGAGUAAGGCUGUAUUUGUUUUUCUUUCUGUCUUUGUAACUCUUUUCUACUUUGGGAACAAAUAUCUUACCGGAAAGGCUUUGCCACUAAAUGCGGCAUGGGGUCUGAUGAAUCAUAUAAUUUCGUCUUCAAAGUGGUUUUGAUAGGGGAGUCUGGCGUAGGAAAGAGCAACCUUCUGUCUCGCUUUACCAAGAAUGAGUUCAAUCAUGACAGUCGCACCACCAUUGGCGUCGAGUUCAGCACGCGGACUGUUCAGCUGGACAACUACGCCAUCAAAGCUCAAAUCUGGGACACAGCAGGGCUGGAGCGCUACAGGGCUAUCACCUCAGCGUAUUACAGGGGAGCAGUUGGAGCACUGUUGGUCUACGACAUUAGCAAACACCUGACCUAUGAGAGCGUAGAUCGAUGGUUGAAAGAGUUGUUCGACCAUGCUGACCCUCACAUCGUGGUCAUGUUGGUGGGAAACAAAAGAGACCUGGAUACCCUUAGGACCGUGCCUACAGAGGAGGCCAAGGACUUUGCAGAGAAGAGAGGUCUCAUGUUCAUGGAGACAUCAGCGUUGGACUCCACCAAUGUCGAAAAUGCUUUCAAUGAAGUCCUCAAAGCAAUCCAUAAGAAGGUGGCCAGCAGAGAGGUGACCCGUGGCUCCAUCUGUGCUGUAACCCUGUCCAACCCCACCAGCGAUGCACAGGAGGGGCGCAGAAACUGCUGCAAGAGCUCCUAACUGACUGCUGCCCUGUAAAGAUCUGCUCUACCCAUGUUGAACGCUUGACUCGUUGAAGCUUACGCAUGAUUGACAUGCAAUUUGAAGAGCGAGGUACCUGCUUGACACUUGAGCAGUCAGUGUACAAAACUAUAUAUAUAUAAUAUGUACAGUAAAUAACUAAAAAACAGUAGAUUAAGAUAUGCAAAUAUUGAGAGUCUAUAUUUUAUACACUAUACUUCUUCCUGUGGUGGCUAAUGAGCGCAUUUUACUACAGAUAGCUCUGCAAUUUGUAUUUGCAAAUGUCUUUAAAGAGGCGCUGCAAAGUUGUAUUGCUUGUAUAAAGAAAUGCACUGGGAUUCACUUGGAAUAAAGUAUUU